UCCUACGGGAGGCAGCAGUGGGGAAUAUUGCACAAUGGGCGCAAGCCUGAUGCAGCCAUGCCGCGUGUAUGAAGAAGGCCUUCGGGUUGUAAAGUACUUUCAGCGGGGAGGAAGGCGGUGCGGUUAAUAACCGCGCCGAUUGACGUUACCCGCAGAAGAAGCACCGGCUAACUCCGUGCCAGCAGCCGCGGUAAU
rnacentral:rRNA from 1 species